GGGGAUUUAGCUCAGUGGUAGAGCGCUUGCCUAGCAAGCACAAGGCCCUGAGUUUGAUCCCCAGCUCCA
rnacentral:tRNA from 1 species